GAUGAACGCUAGCUACAGGCUUAACACAUGCAAGUCGAGGGGAAACGAUAGAGAAAGCUUGCUUUUUCUAGGCGUCGACCGGCGCACGGGUGAGUAACGCGUAUCCAACCUGCCCAUCACUUGGGGAUAACCUUGCGAAAGUAAGACUAAUACCCAAUGACGUCUCUAGAAGACAUCUGAAAGAGAUUAAAGAUUUAUCGGUGAUGGAUGGGGAUGCGUCUGAUUAGCUUGUUGGCGGGGUAACGGCCCACCAAGGCGACGAUCAGUAGGGGGUCUGAGAGGAAGGUCCCCCACAGUGGAACUGAGACACGGUCCAAACGCCUACGGGAGGCAGCAGUGAGGAAUAAUGGUCAAUGGGCGAGAGCCUGAACCAGCCAAGUAGCGUGCAGGAUGACGGCCCUAUGGGUUGUAAACUGCUUUUAUAAGGGAAUAAAGUGAGUCUCGUGAGACUUUUUGCAUGUACCUUAUGAAUAAGGACCGGCUAAUUCCGUGCCAGCCGCCGCGGUAA
rnacentral:rRNA from 1 species